rnacentral:rRNA from 1 species
AACUCCUACGGGAGGCAGCAGUGAGGAAUAUUGGUCAAUGGGAGAGAUCCUGAACCAGCCAAGCCGCGUGAGGGAAGACGGCCCUAUGGGUUGUAAACCUCUUUUGUCGGAGAACAAAACCCGGGACGUGUCCCGGACUGCGCGUAUCCGAACAAAAAGCAUCGGCUAACUCCGUGCCAGCAGCCGCGGCAAUACGGAGGAUGCGAGCGUUAUCCGGAUUUAUUGGGUUUAAAGGGUGCGUAGGCGGUCCG